ACAUUACCACCGCUUUUCUGCUGAUCAACGCUUGGAGGCAGUAACGCACAAGCUUAGCAAAGAAGGUGAAGAAGAAGAAGAAGAAUCUAAGCUAGCAAAAUAAAAUGUUACCAUGAAAGCGAGAAAACCAGUUCUGUAAAUGUUUUAUGAGGUAGGAAAUGCAUUCACCGUGUUUGUCGGGCCUCAAGGAUACAGACAGCGAUUUUUGCCACCCCGAUGCCCUAAAACUGUCCUAAAUGACUUAAUCUACAGGGCGACAGCACUUCAGAGAGGCUGUCCGUCCAAGUGUGACCUUCUACGACUAGAGGGUUUGCGAGAAAGAACUGGCGAGAUGCAGGUAGUCUGUGUAUGCUUGUCUUGAUGUCUCACUACGUGGGAACAAGAGAGACAGAACCACUGACAUUUUGUUGCAAAAUAAAUAAAAAUCAUUGUCUGAUAUGCUCUUUUCUUAAACAUAAACCUCAACAGCUUUCAAAAUCUGACAUUAGGAGUACAAUAAAGGAGAGAAAAUAA